rnacentral:rRNA from 1 species
UACAGAGGUCCCAAGCGUUGUUCGGAUUCACUGGGCGUAAAGGGCGCGUAGGUGGUGAGGUAAGUCGGAUGUGAAAUCUCCGGGCUCAACCCGGAAAUGGCAUUGGAAACUACCUUGCUUGAGGGUUUGAGGGGGGAUUGGAAUACUUGGUGUAGCAGUGAAAUGCGUAGAUAUCAAGUGGAACACCAGUGGCGAAGGCGAAUCCCUGGAAAAUACCUGACACUGAGGCACGAAAGCUAGGGGAGCAAACAGG